rnacentral:rRNA from 1 species
AAGGUGCUGCAUGGUUGUCGUCAGCUCGUGCCGUGAGGUGUCGGUUAAGUCCCAUAACGAGCGCAACCCUUAUCGUUAGUUGCCAGCUGGUAAAGCAGGGGACUCUAGCGAAACUGCCACCGUAAGGUGAGAGGAAGGUGGGGAUGACGUCAAAUCAGCACGGCCCUUAUGUCCAGGGCUACACACGUGUUACAAUGGCCGGCACAGAGGGCAGCUACCUGGUGACAGGAUGCUAAUCUCGAAAACCGGUCUCAGUUCGGAUCGAAGUCUGCAACUCGACUUCGUGAAGCUGGAUUCGCUAGUAAUCGCGCAUCAGCCAUGGCGCGGUGAAUACGUUCCCGGGCCUU